GGGUUGUGAGGUUAAGCGACUAAGCGUACACGGUGGAUGCCCUGGCAGUCAGAGGCGAUGAAGGACGUGCUAAUCUGCGAUAAGCGUCGGUAAGGUGAUAUGAACCGUUAUAACCGGCGAUUUCCGAAUGGGGAAACCCAGUGUGAUUCGUCACACUAUCAUUAACUGAAUCCAUAGGUUAAUGAGGCGAACCGGGGGAACUGAAACAUCUAAGUACCCCGAGGAAAAGAAAUCAACCGAGAUUCCCCCAGUAGCGGCGAGCGAACGGGGAGCAGCCCAGAGCCUGAAUCAGUGUGUGUGUUAGUGGAAGCGUCUGGAAAGGCGUGCGAUACAGGGUGACAGCCCCGUACACAAAAAUGCACAUACUGUGAGCUCGAUGAGUAGGGCGGGACACGUGGUAUCCUGUCUGAAUAUGGGGGGACCAUCCUCCAAGGCUAAAUACUCCUGACUGACCGAUAGUGAACCAGUACCGUGAGGGAAAGGCGAAAAGAACCCCGGCGAGGGGAGUGAAAAAGAACCUGAAACCGUGUACGUACAAGCAGUGGGAGCACGCUUAGGCGUGUGACUGCGUACCUUUUGUAUAAUGGGUCAGCGACUUAUAUUCUGUAGCAAGGUUAACCGAAUAGGGGAGCCGAAGGGAAACCGAGUCUUAACUGGGCGUUAAGUUGCAGGGUAUAGACCCGAAACCCGGUGAUCUAGCCAUGGGCAGGUUGAAGGUUGGGUAACACUAACUGGAGGACCGAACCGACUAAUGUUGAAAAAUUAGCGGAUGACUUGUGGCUGGGGGUGAAAGGCCAAUCAAACCGGGAGAUAGCUGGUUCUCCCCGAAAGCUAUUUAGGUAGCGCCUCGUGAAUUCAUCUCCGGGGGUAGAGCACUGUUUCGGCAAGGGGGUCAUCCCGACUUACCAACCCGAUGCAAACUGCGAAUACCGGAGAAUGUUAUCACGGGAGACACACGGCGGGUGCUAACGUCCGUCGUGAAGAGGGAAACAACCCAGACCGCCAGCUAAGGUCCCAAAGUCAUGGUUAAGUGGGAAACGAUGUGGGAAGGCCCAGACAGCCAGGAUGUUGGCUUAGAAGCAGCCAUCAUUUAAAGAAAGCGUAAUAGCUCACUGGUCGAGUCGGCCUGCGCGGAAGAUGUAACGGGGCUAAACCAUGCACCGAAGCUGCGGCAGCGACACUAUGUGUUGUUGGGUAGGGGAGCGUUCUGUAAGCCUGUGAAGGUGUACUGUGAGGUAUGCUGGAGGUAUCAGAAGUGCGAAUGCUGACAUAAGUAACGAUAAAGCGGGUGAAAAGCCCGCUCGCCGGAAGACCAAGGGUUCCUGUCCAACGUUAAUCGGGGCAGGGUGAGUCGACCCCUAAGGCGAGGCCGAAAGGCGUAGUCGAUGGGAAACAGGUUAAUAUUCCUGUACUUGGUGUUACUGCGAAGGGGGGACGGAGAAGGCUAUGUUGGCCGGGCGACGGUUGUCCCGGUUUAAGCGUGUAGGCUGGUUUUCCAGGCAAAUCCGGAAAAUCAAGGCUGAGGCGUGAUGACGAGGCACUACGGUGCUGAAGCAACAAAUGCCCUGCUUCCAGGAAAAGCCUCUAAGCAUCAGGUAACAUCAAAUCGUACCCCAAACCGACACAGGUGGUCAGGUAGAGAAUACCAAGGCGCUUGAGAGAACUCGGGUGAAGGAACUAGGCAAAAUGGUGCCGUAACUUCGGGAGAAGGCACGCUGAUAUGUAGGUGAAGUCCCUCGCGGAUGGAGCUGAAAUCAGUCGAAGAUACCAGCUGGCUGCAACUGUUUAUUAAAAACACAGCACUGUGCAAACACGAAAGUGGACGUAUACGGUGUGACGCCUGCCCGGUGCCGGAAGGUUAAUUGAUGGGGUUAGCGCAAGCGAAGCUCUUGAUCGAAGCCCCGGUAAACGGCGGCCGUAACUAUAACGGUCCUAAGGUAGCGAAAUUCCUUGUCGGGUAAGUUCCGACCUGCACGAAUGGCGUAAUGAUGGCCAGGCUGUCUCCACCCGAGACUCAGUGAAAUUGAACUCGCUGUGAAGAUGCAGUGUACCCGCGGCAAGACGGAAAGACCCCGUGAACCUUUACUAUAGCUUGACACUGAACAUUGAGCCUUGAUGUGUAGGAUAGGUGGGAGGCUUUGAAGUGUGGACGCCAGUCUGCAUGGAGCCGACCUUGAAAUACCACCCUUUAAUGUUUGAUGUUCUAACGUUGACCCGUAAUCCGGGUUGCGGACAGUGUCUGGUGGGUAGUUUGACUGGGGCGGUCUCCUCCUAAAGAGUAACGGAGGAGCACGAAGGUUGGCUAAUCCUGGUCGGACAUCAGGAGGUUAGUGCAAUGGCAUAAGCCAGCUUGACUGCGAGCGUGACGGCGCGAGCAGGUGCGAAAGCAGGUCAUAGUGAUCCGGUGGUUCUGAAUGGAAGGGCCAUCGCUCAACGGAUAAAAGGUACUCCGGGGAUAACAGGCUGAUACCGCCCAAGAGUUCAUAUCGACGGCGGUGUUUGGCACCUCGAUGUCGGCUCAUCACAUCCUGGGGCUGAAGUAGGUCCCAAGGGUAUGGCUGUUCGCCAUUUAAAGUGGUACGCGAGCUGGGUUUAGAACGUCGUGAGACAGUUCGGUCCCUAUCUGCCGUGGGCGCUGGAGAACUGAGGGGGGCUGCUCCUAGUACGAGAGGACCGGAGUGGACGCAUCACUGGUGUUCGGGUUGUCAUGCCAAUGGCACUGCCCGGUAGCUAAAUGCGGAAGAGAUAAGUGCUGAAAGCAUCUAAGCACGAAACUUGCCCCGAGAUGAGUUCUCCCUGACUCCUUGAGAGUCCUGAAGGAACGUUGAAGACGACGACGUUGAUAGGCCGGGUGUGUAAGCGCAGCGAUGCGUUGAGCUAACCGGUACUAAUGAACCGUGAGGCUUAACCUUACAACGCCGAAGGUGUUU
rnacentral:rRNA from 1 species